UACGGGGGGAACGAGCGUUGUUCGGAUUUACUGGGCGUAAAGGGCACGCAGGCGGGGAUGCAAGUCAGAUGUGAAAACCCGAAGCUUAACUCCGGGCCGGCAUUUGAUACUGCAUCUCUUGAGUACGGGAGAGGAUGAUAGAAUUCUUGGUGUAGCGGUGAAAUGCGUAGAUAUCAAGAGGAAUACCGGUGGCGAAGGCGGUCAUCUGGCCCGAUACUGACGCUCAGGUGCGAAGGCCGGGGGAGCAAACAGGAUUAGAAACCCUUGUAGUCC
rnacentral:rRNA from 1 species